AUGCUUCCUUUAGAUCAUGAAUCUCGCAUCAAUUCCUUCCAGAAACUUCUCAAAUGGCUGGAUCAAAGGAGUAACUUUGAAACCCUAAGACGCAGAUUUCGCGAAUCCGAGCUAAGUCUCAAUGAUGUAUGGUUCAUGAAUAUACAAUCAACUGCGAACAAUCAAGAAAAUACACGGAUAUAUGGAGUAAUCGGGAAAACGAAACCUGCUGAAGCUUUUGAUACUCCGGUAUGGUGGCUGGGAACUCAGGAGUGUGAUUUGAGUUUACAGAGAGAUGAUUUGAUGAAGAUGAAGCAGGGUUUCAGAAGUAAGUAA